CAGCCCUCCUGUAGAGCAGAGAUGAUGUGGUUGCUAAGGAACGAGGCUCUGCUAAGGAGCUGAAAUAUUGAUGAAGCCACUGCAGAGAUUGGACCUGACAGCAGCCCUGAAUUAUUGACCAGCCCUGCAGCCGACAGGAUUGUGCUGGAGGUGGAGAGUCAGAACAGGGUCUGACGCGUGGUGCCACUCGCUACUUCUGGAAAACAUGGCACUUUCUCUGCACUCCCACUUCCCCAAGAACAAAGCUGAAUCCUGGAUGUGGCUGGGACAACUGCAAGACCCAGGAAUGUAAUCCUCCGGGGCAGAGACGCUGUCCAUCUUGCCACUGCUGUUUCCCUACCUGGAGAACAGUAUCUGGAAUCUGGGGGACCUUCAGUGUUUGCUGCUGGACGGAUGGGAGGGGCAGCUCUAUCGGCCUCACCAUGCUACUGUCAAAAGUGUUCCUUCCCGUAUCUCCUCCUUUCAUUCCUUCACCUCAGAAAUGCACAACCUCCCUUCAACGAACACCAAUC